CCUACGGGAUGCUGCAGUGAGGAAUAUUGGUCAAUGGACGCUAGCCUGAACCAGCCAUGCAGCGUGCAGGAUGACUGCUCUAUGAGUUGUAAACUUCUUUUAUAUGGGGAUAAAUUGCAAUAUGUAUACCGCGUUGCAUGUACCUUAUGAAUAAGGAUCGGCUAACUCCGUGCCAGCAGCCGCGGUAAUACGGAGGAUUCGAGCGUUAUCCGGAUUUAUUGGGUUUAAAGGGUGCGUAGGCGGGUUGUUAAGUCAGUGGUGAAAGUUCGGGGCUCAAACGUAGAACUGCCGUUGAUACUGGCAGGCGUGAGUACAGUAGCGGUAGGCGGAAUGCGUGGUGUAGCGGUGAAAUGCAUAGAGAUCAUGCAGAACACCGAUUGCGAAGGCAGCCUGCUGGACUGCGACUGACGUUGAGGCACGAAAGUGUGGGUAUCAAACAGGAUUAGAUACCCUUGUAGUC
rnacentral:rRNA from 1 species